rnacentral:ncRNA from 1 species
UCUUUGUAACAGGGGUGCUUUUGAUAAAGCUGAGAGAGGAUUUCCUUAACCCUAGAACCUGAACCGGAUAAUGCCGGCGUAGGAAGUUGAUUUCCCUACCAA